AGACUCUCGGCAACGGAUAUCUCGGCUCUUGCAUCGAUGAAGAACGUAGCGAAAUGCGAUACUUGGUGUGAAUUGCAGAAUCCCGUGAACCAUCGAGUUUUUGAACGCAAGUUGCGCCCGAAGCCAUUAGGCAGAGGGCACGCCUGCCUGGGUGUUGCACA
rnacentral:rRNA from 1 species